UAAAUUCCAAAAUAUCUAUAAAAAUGGCAUGCUGAAGUAACACGCGGAUGGGCGCGCCGACUGGCACCGCGAGCAGCCCUAAGUAUUGAAAACCAAAAAGGGCACACAUCAGAGAAUAUGCCGACAUGCACUCAAAUGGAAAUAUAUUCACUGGGAGAAGAUUGAAAUUACAAGGUCGAAUGAGAUUUCCAUAUCUCAAUAAAUCUUAGAUUUGGGGUUUCCUAAUACUCCCUCCGUCCCAUAAUAUAAAGGAGUAUUUGCUAUAAUGCUUUUUCAAAAUAGGGGUUAACCGAAAGAAAGGAAUUUCUUGCAGAGACUGAGGUAGGGACUCCUUAAGGUCACAUUGGUGUGACUACAUAAAUUGCAAAUUGUUCGCCAACUGUAAUCUUGGUUUCAAAUUUGAGGGUCAAUUCCUUUGCUAUUAGAUUGUCAGCACCUGCAACAUCCCAAGGGAUCAAAAUUUCAGUUUGUGCAAAUAUGUCAUAACACUAAACAUCAAUGUUGAAUUUACACAACAGCGCCGUUCAGAACAAAGGUAUGACUGAAACAAAAAUAAUGUGUCAUAUCUAAUAAAGGUCGUAAGAGGAAGAUAAAUCUAUCUUCUCCUUGCAUUCUGUGGUGCAUAUUUUGCCCUUCUUUACCAGCAGAAGAAUAUGAAGGCAACUGCGGAAGUUAAGCUAUGCCUAACAAUCAAUAUUUCAAGUAUCGGGUAGGAUACAAAGGAAGAACUCAAAACCUGAAUUCACAUAGGAUGGCUCAUACAUCAAAGAUCGUAUCACCCCAAGUUCCAUGAACAAAUGAGCCCCUUUCUAUAUGCAACAGCCGCAUGCCCAUAUCGUUAUAAAAAAUGCAAUGUAAAAGUAACCAACAAAUUAAAUGGUUAUGAACAUUAGCUGAGCAAACUUUUGUUCACUAGAACCUUGUUGUAAUAAAAGUAAAAGUAGCUAGAGAUAUGUACAGGGCUUGUAAGAACCUCUCAAGCACAUCUUUCUUGUGCUGCUCUGAUGUUAACGGGGUGAAUCUUGAACAAAUAGUACCAUACCCGUUAAAUAUGUCAAAGAAAUCAGGUCCAUGAAUUAUAUCACUCAAUUGGAUUAACAUGUUGAGGAAUUGAAGAAAAGCAACACACAAUCACUUGAAAUGAGAUCACUGAACUACAAGAACUUGCACUACCAUGGGACAUUUCAAGUGGACUAAAAGAAAUUGCACUACCAUGCGCAACUAUUUUACCACAGAUUCUUAGUUCACUUAAGAAUUUAUUUACCUCUAGCCGAAUUGUUCAAAUCACUAUAAAUAAUUGUUAAGUAAAUCGUUAACUGGUAGCUGCUCAGUUGGCUGACGAGUAGGGGAUUAAUAGGUUAAUCGACCACUUAAUUAAUUAAUCUGACGAUUUAUCAGUUUAUCGGCUACUCGAUGACCCUACAAGUAGGGAUUAAUCAGCAAGUUAACUGGUUAAUCAAACGAGUUCUUGAACAGGGUAAACGCAUUUAACAUGUAUAUACUGUUUGGAUGUAAUAGCCAUUAACUCUUAUAAUAAUGCGAGCUUUCCCCUAGUGCAGAAGCAAUCCAACUGCAAGGUUCAUGACAAACAAAUGGAAAUUAUUAUACCGAUAUUUUGUUUUCGAUCUUUGUACCAAGAUAAACUGCAGAAGAUAGCAGAAAAAGUGCAAUUGUGCUUUAUCAGACAUCUCACCUUUUGUUCCUGAAUAAUUCCUCUGUCAGGAACGAGCUCACUUUGAUCCCCCCCCCCCAAAGUUGAAUAGUUCUCACAUGGCUCAGCAUCAUAAACACUCCAAAUACACCAAUAAAAGCAUAUGCAUGAAAAUGCUCAUGGAUUAAAUUAUCUAGAUUCUGUUGUUGAGAUAAUAGCUCUGCUCUCUUUACUGUCGAAGUUUCUUCAUGAUACACGAGAUGAACCUGCAUGUAAAGAAACUGAGUGCAAGAUCUCUCUUUAUUUGGUCUGACAUCCAGCUAAAAGGCGAACGCCAUGAACCAAAAACCAUUAACAGGAAGCUAAAUGGAAGCAACAACAAUAAAAAAUCUUGACAUUAUCUACGGCCCCAACAAUUUAUCCUCAUGUUCAAUCCAUAAUAGUAGGGGGGAGAGACGAGAGGUGAGUUGUACCUGAGGCGUGCAGGCGACCAAGGGCACGUACUAACUGAUCGACGGAAGAACCCAAGGCUCAACACAACGCCAAGGGCACGUACUAACUGAUCGACGAAAGAACCCAAGGCUCAACACAACGCCUCUACUGCUCCUGCAUCAUGCGGCCAUCUAAAAAACAAUCUUCACGGACCCGGCUCGACCAAGUCCUCCUCCACAUCCUCAUUGGCGCCGCCUUCCACUCACUGAC
rnacentral:lncRNA from 1 species